rnacentral:tRNA from 2 species
GUGUCGGUAACCCGUAAUUGGUAGCGGUCCUGACUGUAAAUCAGGUGUCUUCGGAUUCUGGGGGUUCAAGUCCCUCCCGGCGCAC